rfam:Rhinolophus ferrumequinum clone VMRC7-305L23, complete sequence.
UUUUCAGUUUUAGAUCGAUGUCAAAAGCUGUUACAAAAACUUAAAAAAUUCUCUGAUGGGUCAUAGGCAUCUAAUUUGUGGUGGUCCAUUUUAUGAACAUAUGAAAGGAAAGUUAUCUGUUUAACAUCAGCUUUGAGUUUAGGAUAUAUCCCAGAUAUCUUAGUUGCGCUUACUUUUUUUUGGAGAUGUUUCUCGUAUCCAUUAACGAAGCAAU